rnacentral:rRNA from 1 species
AAACAUGGUCUUUUGUUUAUAUAAAAGAUUUGACCUGCCCAAUGAUUAUAUAUUUAAUGGCUGCAGUAUUUUGACUGUACAAAGGUAGCAUAAUCAUUUGUCUUUUAAUUGAAGUCUAGAAUGAAUGGUUUGAUGAAAAAUAUAUUUUCUUUAUUUUAUAGUGAAAAAUUUAAUUUUUUAGUUAAAAAGCUAGGAUUUUGUUAUAGGACGAGAAGACCCUAUAGAACUUUAUUUUUCUAUUUAUAAUUUUAGCUUGGGUUAUAUUAUAAAAAUAUAAGUACUGAAUUUUGUUGGGGUGACAGAAAAAAUAUAAUAACUUUUUCUAUUUUUUUCAUUAAUUGAUGAAUUUUUGAUCCUUUUUUAGGGAUAAAAAGAUUAAGUUACCUUAGGGAUAACAGCGUUAUUAUUUUAGAGAGUUCAUAUCGAUAAAAUAGUUUGCGACCUCGAUGUUGGAUUAUAAUAAGGUAUAGGGGUAGAAUAUUAUAUUUUAGGUCUGUUCGACCUUUAAAUUUUUACAUGAUCUGA